rnacentral:tRNA from 1 species
CAAAAUGUAGCUUAAUUAAAGCAUUUCGCUUACACCGAAAACAUGUCUGUUAGACUCAGACCACUUUGA